UACGUAGGGGGCAAGCGUUGUCCGGAAUCAUUGGGCGUAAAGCGCGUGUAGGCGGCUCGAUAAGUCUGCUGUGAAAGUCCAAGGCUCAACCUUGGAAAGCCGGUGGAAACUGUCGGGCUAGAGUCCGGAAGAGGCGAGUGGAAUUCCUGGUGUAGCGGUGAAAUGCGCAGAUAUCAGGAGGAACACCAAUGGCGAAGGCAGCUCGCUGGGACGGUACUGACGCUGAGACGCGAAAGCGUGGGGAGCAAACAGG
rnacentral:rRNA from 1 species